rnacentral:lncRNA from 1 species
UGAAACUGUUCAUAUAUUAUCGAUAUACAUAUCUGUGACUUUACGGUUACCUGUAAACUGGGAUGUUGCAAGUGAUGUGACCAGGCUAUAAAUAAAGUUUGGGCAAAUGUUGGUCAGAAACCCCUGCGGCACAUGCUGAUUGUGCUCCUGAAGGACCUUUUAUCACUUAAAUCACACUCUGAUCAUUUAGAAGACUGUUUUAGGAUUUGAGAAUAUUUCCAAAUCAGAUCACUGCUUCAGAUUAAGGUAAACUUGCAAGUCAUGGGUUGCGGGAACAGCAGGGAAGGAUGUGAGAACUGUGAGGACAACUGUGAUAACAGCUGCAGCUGCGGAUGUCAUGACAGCACCAGCGUGUCUAACUGUGAAAAGUGUCUGAAGUGCAUCAAAUGUAUGAUGCUUUGUGCUGACAUCAUGGAACAUCUGGGAAAUUGCAUUGAAUGCUGUUCAGAAAUAGAAACUGAGUGAACGGUAUUCUGGAGGCGAUGCAGCAUUCAGGAUGGGUUGCAGCUACUGCGGAAAGGAACAUCAUCCUGUUCGUAAAGACCAUGUUAUCUGUACAAUAUAUUUGCUGACAGAAGCCCAGAAGGAACAAAAUAGCACAUGAAUUUAAAGCAGAAAUUCUUAAACAGUAUACAUCAAAACUGAAAUCUAGUAAUUAACACAUUAGUGAUAAAUUAACACUGUCACUGUUUCCCAAAUAAACACUUUUGAAAGUGUUUAACACUCUCUGACCUGAAAAGUGAAAAAUCCUCUGUUAAAUGAACACUCCUGAGCAUUUAUAUAAAACACACUACAGAGUUAAUGAGAUAAUUAAGUGAUUAAUUAAGUGAUGAUUGAACAUAAAGUGAUGAACACAUGUUGCUGUUAACAAACAGAAUCACUGAUGAAAAGAGAAACAAGAACAGAAACACGAGAAGCAGAAACACAACUACGUGACAAUUUUACAGAUUCAUAUAAAAGAUUGCUUUAAAUAAGUUUAACUAAAACCUGUUAAUACAGAAAACCCUUGACUCUUGUGUUUGGGCUCAAAAGGGAUAAUGAGAAUCACUGCUGUAUUAUUUUAUGUUUAUUUUUUUUAUUUUUUAUUAUUUUUUUUGUUACUACAGUGGGCAUUACUGUCUCGAUUGAACCUCUGAUCCAAGUGUUAAAUGUAAAUGUAUAUAACAUUUUUGCAACAUGUCAUCAUAAAGAUGUUUCAUCUCAUGCCCUUUGCUCUUAUAUGUAUCUUAUAUGUUAACGAGAGCCUGUCUCAGACUGUCAGACUCAGAUCACUUUCAGAUAGCAGCAAUAAAAACAAUAAAAAAAGAAAAAAAACAAUGCAGUUGUCUGGUAUUUUCUCUCUCUCUCUCUAAUAUGAGCCUUGAACCUUGAACCUCUCUCUCUCAGAUUGCACUCCCAGAAUGCUUUUAACCAAAGCAAAAACUGUGUAUCCAGCAUGCAAUGCAGCAUGAAUAACUAAUGCUGUAGACUUUUUCCACUGUAAAAAAAAAAAAAAAAAAAAAAAACAAAUUCCACCUGCAGUAUUCAACUGAAGUUCGGUUUCCUUAAAUUAAGUACAGUCGAAUUGGCUGUACAAGUCAUUUCAACGUAUAUAACAUAUAACUGACUUUUAAAAGAUGAGUUGAUUC